GAUGAACGCUGGCGGCGUGCCUAAUACAUGCAAGUCGAGCGAACAGACGAGGAGCUUGCUCCUCUGACGUUAGCGGCGGACGGGUGAGUAACACGUGGAUAACCUACCUAUAAGACUGGGAUAACUUCGGGAAACCGGAGCUAAUACCGGAUAAUAUAUUGAACCGCAUGGUUCAAUAGUGAAAGACGGUUUUGCUGUCACUUAUAGAUGGAUCCGCGCCGCAUUAGCUAGUUGGUAAGGUAACGGCUUACCAAGGCGACGAUGCGUAGCCGACCUGAGAGGGUGAUAGGCCACACUGGAACUGAGACACGGUCCAGACGCCUACGGGAGGCAGCAGUAGGGAAUCUUCCGCAAUGGGCGAAAGCUUGACGGAGCAACGCCGCGUGAGUGAUGAAGGUCUUCGGAUCGUAAAACUCUGUUAUUAGGGAAGAACAAAUGUGUAAGUAACUAUGCACGUAUUGACGGUACCUAAUCAGAAAGCCACGGCUAACUACGUG
rnacentral:rRNA from 1 species